rnacentral:misc_RNA from 1 species
GUGAAUCAUCAAAUUUUUGAACGCAAAUUGCACUCUCUUCGGAUAGGAGGCCUGUUUGAGGGUCAGUAUUAAUAAAAAUCUGGGUGUUAAUUAUUUGUUACACUCCGGAGUGUGGUGCAUCUUAAUAUCCUUUAGGUUUUAAGAGUCUUAAAAUUAACUUUUUUUGAACAUUUGAGAUGUACAUAAAAUAUUUUUUUUAUACUUCUGUCUUAAUUCUCAAAAUACUAUUAGAUGCGACCAUAUC